rnacentral:miRNA from 1 species
CCUUGAUAUAUAGCCGCUCAGC